AUAAAACUGUAGGUAGUUAAAUAUUAGUGCUGACUUUAAUCAUCUUUAAUCAUCCACAGAUAUUGUAAAAUUGAAAAGGACGUGAGAACGAGGCAUUUUUGUGACACCAAGCAGUGUUAAAUCCCAGAAACUGAGACAGGUGAUGAAAACAAGGCCAGACUUUCCUGCCGAUCAGUGGAGAUGGCGAACUGGAGCCAUCAUAAUGGCUAAUUCUUCCCCUCCUGGCCCAGGGAGCAGGAAAAGAAGCGAGACGGAUCAUGUGACUGGCACCUUCGACGGUCAUUUUGCUUUGCUCAGCCAAAACCACCCGAGGACCGAAGCGGCAAGAAGGAUAUACGUAAUUUUUUUCAAACCAAAGCUUUCAAAAGCGACAACUACUGAGCAAGAACCAAGGAUUGAUAAUGUGGACCAUGAAACACCAGAGAGCACCGCCAAAAUGGUCAGACGAGUGGAGCGGCCACACCUGCGGGCAAUUAACAUCAGCCAGCUUUAAAAGCUAAGCAGACGCUCCACCUCGUCGCCCGAUCAACUCGUCUGGUUUCGCCGUCCUGUCCUCUGCGCGCUCCUUGUCGGAUUCUACGCCUGCCUCCUUCCGAGCUUCCACGCCUGCCUCCUCCCGAGCGCCCACGUCUCACGCCGGCUCAAUUACCCCACACGAAGCAACCUCCAUCCGCCACGCUAUCUCUGGUGUCUGUAAAUAAAUAUUACUCACAACAACCAGUUUGUCUGCACUGGGAUCCCCUCCUGCUCACGCACCCCUAACAGUAUGUGUGUAUCCCAACAUCAUUUUCAUUCGCCCCUUGUGUUCCGACAGCUUAGAUGAGUGUAAUAACUUUUAUUCUUUAUUCUUGA